GGGGACGUAGCUCAGUUGGGAGAGCGCAGCGUUCGCAAUGCUGAGGUCGUGGGUUCGAUCCCCAUCGUCUCCA
rnacentral:tRNA from 1 species